AUCCAGACGUCGCUAAUAGAAGGGAGCCUUGGGAAAGCUGACUCAUCCUGCUUUGCUCAACUUUGCUCUGCCUCCUACUCAGUCAUAAAUUGCUGCACAGACUGUGCCAGAUAAAUUGACAUUAAGAGUUAUUAAAGGAACUAGUCGACAGUUUAGAAAAUGUGCAUUCACGGCAAGCGUCGGCGGUCCUCUGGAAGAGCCGGGGCAGGGCAGAGUGACUUGGGUUUAAGAGGGUAUCUGCCUGUCCUACUGAGAAGCUGCCUGAAGCUGCAUGAUCUGCAUAUGGGCCUUUGAUCUAACUAUCAUCACUGGCUGACCGACCUGGGAAACGGGACGGCCUGGGUGGAGAUCUGGUAACACCAGGGACCAGCUCAAAAUCCCUUCCUCGGGAGCCUGGGUGGCUCAGUUGGUUAAGCGGCUGCCUUCAGCUCAGGUCAUGAUCCUGGAGUCCCUGGAUCGAGUCCCACAUCGGAGUCCCUGCUUCUCCCUCUGACCCUCCC